rnacentral:rRNA from 1 species
UGUCUUAACGGCUUUCGGCAACCGAUAUCUCGGUUUUCGAAUCGUUGAAGACCGUAGCGAAUUGCGUUAUUUGGUGUGAUUUGCAGAUUCCCGUGAACCAUCGAGUCUUUGAACGCAAGUUGCGCCCGAAGCCAUUAGGCCGAGGGCACGCCUGCCUGGGCGGCAAACG